UACAGAGGUCCCGAGCGUUGUUCGGAUUCACUGGGCGUAAAGGGUGCGCAGGUGGGUUUGCAAGUUUGAUGUGAAAGCCCCGGGCUUAACCCGGGAAUGGCAUUGAAUACUGCAGAUCUGGAGGAUUGGAGGGGGGACUGGAAUUCUUGGUGUAGCAGUGAAAUGCGUAGAGAUCAUGAGGAAGACCAGUGGCGAAGGCGGGUCUCUGGACAGUUCCUGACACUGAGGCACGAAGGCCAGGGGAGCAAACGGG
rnacentral:rRNA from 1 species